rnacentral:sRNA from 1 species
GCCAGGUGUGGUGUUGCACACCUGUAGUCCCAGCUACUCAGAAGGAUGAGGCAGGAGGAUGGCUUAAGCCCAGAUGUUUGAGAACAGCCUGGGCAACAUAAUAAGACCCCAUCUCAA